GGAGUCUAGAACCUUGGAGACCCAUCCAGUGGGAGACUCAGCCGCUGCUGAAGCCUUCAUCCAUGGUCAAGGGGAGCCUCCAAGGUAUGCCUCGGAGAGAAGCAUUUUAAAUCUUCUGAAACGAGAUGCAGACAGACAAAACGAAACAGGACAAAGACGUCACUGAGGGCACUGCCAACACUUCUGGAGCUUGUCCUGAAGAGCCAUUCGUGUGCUUGGACUGAUCUCCCGUCUUGUGCUCUUGGCAUUGGUGCAGGAUCCUGCAUGUACAUUUGCAGGGGCAAGGCAAGGGAUGAAGAGAACUGACCUACCAUGUGCCUCCUUGGCAUCAGACACACCCCUGGACACUUGCUCUAUGUCACCUCUUCUGAAUCUUCACCAUGAUCCUGUAAGCCGGGUAGCAUUAGCUGCACUGUAUUGAUAAGGAAACUGAAGCUCACAAAGACGAAAUGCUUGCCAACAAUCUCACAUCUAGGAAGUGGUACCAAGCUGGGAUUGAGACUUGAGCCCAUGAGACUUUAAAGCUCCCUCUCAAUUUUCUUUGGGGAUGUGUAUAUAGGUGGGGAAGCUAUACAGAAAAUAAAAAAAAUCUUUAUAUAAAAGCUGGGGGGUCCAGACAUGGUGGCUCACACCUGUAAUAAUCCUAGCACUUUCGGGGCUGAAGCAAAAUGUUUGCUUGAACCCAGACAUUCAAGACAAGCCUGGGCAAUAUAACAAGACCUCAUCUCCACAAAAAUAAAAAAAAAAAAUAAUAAAAAAAACAGCUGGGCAUGGUGGCUUAUACCUGUAGUCCCACCUACUUGGGAGGCUGAGGUGGGAGGAUUGUUUGAGCCCAGGAGGUCGAGGCUGCAGUGAGCCAACAUCAUGUCACCACACUCCAGCCUGGGGGAUAGAGGGAGACCCUGACUCAAAUAAAUACAUAAAUACAAUAAAAUAAAAAUAAAUAAAUAAAAACUGGGGGAGGGUUCUGUUUCCCUCUGGGGGAGGGAGAGAAUUUUAAUCUAGAGGGGAUACUCAGAGACUCCUGGAGUCCUCACUCACAAUAUUUCAUUUUUAAUCUGGGUGGUGGUUACACAGGGUGUUCAUGUUGUAAAUAAUCCUUUAGACUAUCCAUACAUGUUUUAUGGACUUUUGUGCACCUCACCGAUAUCUUACAAUAACAAAUUACAAACAAAAAAGAGUCCCUAUUAUUUUUGCAUCCAGUGAUUUCUUCAGUAUAUCACCAGAACGGCAUCUGAAAUGACUGUGUCAGACACCAGAGUACAACCUGGUAAGAAAUGCAUGCAAUCAUGAGAUUUCUGCGUUUUUUUUUGCAUUUUAUUGCUCCCAGCAAAAGUUAAAUUUUACAAUAACAGUAAAAAUAUACUAGUUAAAACUCAAGCGAUUGAUAUGUAUCUAUUGAGGUCCUUGUAUACAAUAUUCUAGGUGCCAUGGAGGUUACAAAGGUGUCCUUGCCUUUUGGAUCUCAGGAUCACCUUGAGGAGGAGGCAAGACAGAGACACAGAAUGAGAGAAUUAACUAAGUGAGGUCAACAAAUAAUGAGUGGUACAGAGAGGAAGUGCGACAGAAAUCCACGUGUCUAAGCUUCGCAGAGGGGAGAGAAUUUCAUUGAGGCUUGAAGGAUGUAUGAACUUCAGACAGGUCAAGAGGAAGCAGAAUUACAAGCACAAAGACAUAGUAAUGAGAAGAGGCUCGCUGUCUUGCAGAGACUAAUGUUGACCAGUUUGGAGUGGGGAACUCACAAUGGGAAAUUAUAAGAGAUAGGCUUAAAAGAGAACUUGACCUCCAAAACCUUGUGUGAUCUGGCCCAAACUUUGUCUAGCUGCCUGAAUUUGUUGGAAUCACAUGAUUUAAUAUAAACAUUGCAUAAUGUUAAAUGUGAUUUAAAUGCUUCUCAAGGGAGAAGCAGGGGCACAAAUGUUGCUACAGAGGGCAGGCAAAUGCUAUGUAAAUAAGGGGUAAAAAUUGAGUGUGGGGAGGUUGGGCUAGAGAUGAUAAUGGAUGGAAGAACUGGAGAAGUGCUGGCUGUGGGAGGAUGAGAAGGUGAGUUCAAGUGAUAAGUCAAAGAUGCACACUGGGGCUAUGAAAAGAUGGGUUGUAUUUAGAGAAAAGGAUGGAGUGUCUGACCCCAUUCUCUUUCAAGGUGGAGUGCAUCUUGGAGCUGGGAAAGGAGACGAAGGUGGUAGAAGUGUUAGGAGAGGAGCCUGCGGGUAGGGGAAGUUAAGGAGAGAAUGGGAAAUGUAUUAAUGACUUUGUGGUAUUGAAAUAAAACAGUUCCCUGAUUAAUUCGUUUCCUCCAAUACGACCAAACUCACACCAACACUUUGGCAUGCCACAGAUCACCCCCAAGAGUGACUCCACAGCCAUCAGCCACCAUCCCCACCAUCCCAGGCAGUGGCAGCCAGGCAGAGGAAGUGGUCCAAGAAACCUCCCUGUCUGCAGUUCAGUUUCUACUCAUACUUCUCAUAAAGUCAUGACCCUGGCCAUGAAUCUCCCAUCCCUGGAAACCCAGAAGGACGCUCUCCCUUCUGGACGCAUUCCUCCUCCAGGCAUAACUUCCAACACGAAGGUCAGAAUGAAUGCGAGUCGCCCAGAGCCCCACACCCAGCCCUGGGAAGGGCGAUUCCCUCUGGGAAUUCUGCCAGCACAAUGUUGCCUCAAUUUGAAGACAAAUUUUAAAUUAAUAAAGAAAAAAAAAAGCCUCAGACUCUCACGUCUGCCAAAACACACCAUUCCCUGAAAGGUUCCUGAAAAGGACUCAGUGAUGUACUAUAAAGAAAGCGCCAACCUUCCAUAGCCUUCUCCAGCUGCGAGACGCAGACUGGCGGGUCCUGGAAAGGUAACAGCUCACAGCCGCCUUCCCGGGGGCAGCGCAGUGUUGUUCUUGGAUCGAGAAGACCUUUCAGCUGCCUUACCACCUGUGUAUUUCACAGUCUUGCAGUUCCCUAAACCCCUAUGAACAACACAGAACGAACAGACCCGUGGCCAACAGAAAACCCUGAGAAAAGUACUGGAAGAAAGAGUGUGGUUGGUUUAAGAUAGAAAUGAUGUGAAGGUUGCAGUGCGUGCCCUGCAGUUUUCAAAGCCUGCAUCGCUAAAAUCAUCACAGGAAUAGAAGUGUCCUUGUCAGCUGCUCUUUUCUUUAGCAGAGAAUCUCUCAAACAGCCUCAGGCCACAAAAUCACUUCCUGAGGAACUCUUGGUAACUGAAUGCCUCUCCAAGUAGCAGGGACCCACACACUGGAAU
rnacentral:lncRNA from 10 species